UACGGAGGGUGCAAGCGUUAUCCGGAUUCACUGGGUUUAAAGGGCGCGUAGGUGGGCCUGUAAGUCAGUGGUGAAAUCUCCGGGCUUAACCCGGAAACUGCCAUUGAUACUAUAGGUCUUGAAUUUUCUGGAGGUCAGCGGAAUAUGUCAUGUAGCGGUGAAAUGCUUAGAUAUGACAUAGAACACCGAUUGCGAAGGCAGCUGACUACAGGAACAUUGACACUAAGGCACGAAAGCGUGGGGAUCAAACAGG
rnacentral:rRNA from 1 species